rnacentral:rRNA from 1 species
CCCUGGUGGCGAGCGGCGGACGGGUGAGUAAUGCAUAGGAAUCUGCCCGGUAGUGGGGGAUAACGUGGGGAAACCCACGCUAAUACCGCAUACGUCCUACGGGAGAAAGCGGAGGAUCUUCGGACUUCGCGCUAUCGGAUGAGCCUAUGUCGGAUUAGCUAGUUGGUAAGGUAACGGCUUACCAAGGCGACGAUCCGUAGCUGGUCUGAGAGGAUGAUCAGCCACACUGGGACUGAGACACGGCCCAGACUCCUACGGGAGGCAGCAGUGGGGAAUAUUGGACAAUGGGCGAAAGCCUGAUCCAGCCAUGCCGCGUGUGUGAAGAAGGCUUUCGGGUUGUAAAGCACUUUCAGCGAGGAAGAAAGCCUCUGGGUUAAUACCCCAGAGGAAAGACAUCACUCGCAGAAGAAGCACCGGCUAACUCCGUGCCAGCAGCCGCGGUAAUACGGAGGGUGCGAGCGUUAAUCGGAAUUACUGGGCGUAAAGCGCGCGUAGGUGGCUUGGCACGCCGGUUGUGAAAGCCCCGGGCUCAACCUGGGAACGGCAUCCGGAACGGCCAGGCUAGAGUGCAGGAGAGGAAGGUAGAAUUCCCGGUGUAGC